AGCGUACACGGUGGAUGCCCUGGCAGUCAGAGGCGAUGAAGGACGUGCUAAUCUGCGAUAAGCGUCGGUGAGGUGAUAUGAACCGUUAUAACCGGCGAUUUCCGAAUGGGGAAACCCAGUGUGUUUCGACACACUAUCAUUAACUGAAUCCAUAGGUUAAUGAGGCGAACCGGGGGAACUGAAACAUCUAAGUACCCCGAGGAAAAGAAAUCAACCGAGAUUCCCCCAGUAGCGGCGAGCGAACGGGGAGGAGCCCAGAGCCUGAAUCAGUGUGUGUGUUAGUGGAAGCGUCUGGAAAGGCGUGCGAUACAGGGUGACAGCCCCGUACACAAAAAUGCACAUAUUGUGAGCUCGAUGAGUAGGGCGGGACACGUGGUAUCCUGUCUGAAUAUGGGGGGACCAUCCUCCAAGGCUAAAUACUCCUGACUGACCGAUAGUGAACCAGUACCGUGAGGGAAAGGCGAAAAGAACCCCGGCGAGGGGAGUGAAAAAGAACCUGAAACCGUGUACGUACAAGCAGUGGGAGCCUCUUAAUGGGGUGACUGCGUACCUUUUGUAUAAUGGGUCAGCGACUUAUAUUCUGUAGCAAGGUUAACCGAAUAGGGGAGCCGAAGGGAAACCGAGUCUUAACUGGGCGUUAAGUUGCAGGGUAUAGACCCGAAACCCGGUGAUCUAGCCAUGGGCAGGUUGAAGGUUGGGUAACACUAACUGGAGGACCGAACCGACUAAUGUUGAAAAAUUAGCGGAUGACUUGUGGCUGGGGGUGAAAGGCCAAUCAAACCGGGAGAUAGCUGGUUCUCCCCGAAAGCUAUUUAGGUAGCGCCUCGUGAAUUCAUCUCCGGGGGUAGAGCACUGUUUCGGCAAGGGGGUCAUCCCGACUUACCAACCCGAUGCAAACUGCGAAUACCGGAGAAUGUUAUCACGGGAGACACACGGCGGGUGCUAACGUCCGUCGUGAAGAGGGAAACAACCCAGACCGCCAGCUAAGGUCCCAAAGUCAUGGUUAAGUGGGAAACGAUGUGGGAAGGCCCAGACAGCCAGGAUGUUGGCUUAGAAGCAGCCAUCAUUUAAAGAAAGCGUAAUAGCUCACUGGUCGAGUCGGCCUGCGCGGAAGAUGUAACGGGGCUAAACCAUGCACCGAAGCUGCGGCAGCGACACUAUGUGUUGUUGGGUAGGGGAGCGUUCUGUAAGCCUGUGAAGGUGGCCUGUGAGGGUUGCUGGAGGUAUCAGAAGUGCGAAUGCUGACAUAAGUAACGAUAAAGCGGGUGAAAAGCCCGCUCGCCGGAAGACCAAGGGUUCCUGUCCAACGUUAAUCGGGGCAGGGUGAGUCGACCCCUAAGGCGAGGCCGAAAGGCGUAGUCGAUGGGAAACAGGUUAAUAUUCCUGUACUUGGUGUUACUGCGAAGGGGGGACGGAGAAGGCUAUGUUGGCCGGGCGACGGUUGUCCCGGUUUAAGCGUGUAGGCUGGUUUUCCAGGCAAAUCCGGAAAACCAAGGCUGAGGCGUGAUGACGAGGCACUACGGUGCUGAAGCGACAAAUGCCCUGCUUCCAGGAAAAGCCUCUAAGCAUCAGGUAACAUCAAAUCGUACCCCAAACCGACACAGGUGGUCAGGUAGAGAAUACCAAGGCGCUUGAGAGAACUCGGGUGAAGGAACUAGGCAAAAUGGUGCCGUAACUUCGGGAGAAGGCACGCUGAUAUGUAGGUGAAGCGACUUGCUCGUGGAGCUGAAAUCAGUCGAAGAUACCAGCUGGCUGCAACUGUUUAUUAAAAACACAGCACUGUGCAAACACGAAAGUGGACGUAUACGGUGUGACGCCUGCCCGGUGCCGGAAGGUUAAUUGAUGGGGUUAGCGGUAACGCGAAGCUCUUGAUCGAAGCCCCGGUAAACGGCGGCCGUAACUAUAACGGUCCUAAGGUAGCGAAAUUCCUUGUCGGGUAAGUUCCGACCUGCACGAAUGGCGUAAUGAUGGCCAGGCUGUCUCCACCCGAGACUCAGUGAAAUUGAACUCGCUGUGAAGAUGCAGUGUACCCGCGGCAAGACGGAAAGACCCCGUGAACCUUUACUAUAGCUUGACACUGAACAUUGAGCCUUGAUGUGUAGGAUAGGUGGGAGGCUUUGAAGUGUGGACGCCAGUCUGCAUGGAGCCGACCUUGAAAUACCACCCUUUAAUGUUUGAUGUUCUAACGUUGGCCCGUAAUCCGGGUUGCGGACAGUGUCUGGUGGGUAGUUUGACUGGGGCGGUCUCCUCCUAAAGAGUAACGGAGGAGCACGAAGGUUGGCUAAUCCUGGUCGGACAUCAGGAGGUUAGUGCAAUGGCAUAAGCCAGCUUGACUGCGAGCGUGACGGCGCGAGCAGGUGCGAAAGCAGGUCAUAGUGAUCCGGUGGUUCUGAAUGGAAGGGCCAUCGCUCAACGGAUAAAAGGUACUCCGGGGAUAACAGGCUGAUACCGCCCAAGAGUUCAUAUCGACGGCGGUGUUUGGCACCUCGAUGUCGGCUCAUCACAUCCUGGGGCUGAAGUAGGUCCCAAGGGUAUGGCUGUUCGCCAUUUAAAGUGGUACGCGAGCUGGGUUUAGAACGUCGUGAGACAGUUCGGUCCCUAUCUGCCGUGGGCGCUGGAGAACUGAGGGGGGCUGCUCCUAGUACGAGAGGACCGGAGUGGACGCAUCACUGGUGUUCGGGUUGUCAUGCCAAUGGCACUGCCCGGUAGCUAAAUGCGGAAGAGAUAAGUGCUGAAAGCAUCUAAGCACGAAACUUGCCCCGAGAUGAGUUCU
rnacentral:rRNA from 4 species